UCUCCAGCCCAUGCACCAGUCCACCCACCAAUGCCACACUCACAUCCUCCUGUUCAACAUCCCGUGCACUCUCCAUCAAAAAGCCAACAACCACCUGUUAAGUCACCAGUUAAACCACCGACCCAGCCACCAAAACACCCACAACCACCUGUCGCUCAGCCCCCAAAACACCCACAGCCUCCGGCUCACUCACCAAGCUAUCAUUUCCCAAGGAGUUUCGUAGCAGUGCAAGGUGUUGUAUAUUGCAAGUCAUGCAAGUAUGCUGGGGUUGAUACCCUCUUGGGAGCUUCACCACUUUCUGGCGCUACAGUAAAACUACAGUGCAAUAAUACCAAGCAGGCGCAAGAAGCCAAGGCCACAACGGACAAGAACGGCUACUUCUUCCUCCAAGCAUCCAAGAAAAUCACCAACUACGGGGCCCACAAGUGCAAAGUGUCACUGGUCUCUGCACCAAACACUGCAUGCAGCAAACCAACUGAUCUCCACGGUGGCGUCAGUGUCGGAAGCUUGAGGCCUGAGAAGAAAUACGUUUCAAAUCAGCUUCCUUUUGUUCUCUAUACUGUUGGUCCUUUUGCCUUCGAGCCCAAGUG
rnacentral:misc_RNA from 1 species